GGCCUGAUGGUCUAGUAGCAUGAUUCUUUCUUCGGGUGUAUCACGUGAUUGGAAGAGGUCCCGGGUUCAAUUCCCGGUCAGGCCC